AUCUUAGGACAAAGAGAAUCCCUGAUUUAAUGGCAUAGGGUUCUAUACUUCAUUACGUCAUAACAGAGGAUCAAUUUUGUGGCAAAAGAGGUGUGACAAUGAGCUCCUAAUCAUAGAACUCACAUCUUUUACAAUAUAUUGCAUCACAAACACUGACUUUCCUCAUAGAAUGAUGGAAUGGAUACGACAGUCACCACUAAGAAACAGCAGAGAUUAAUAUAUAUGAUGAUUACUCUGGCAUCGUUGAUGGGAGUUGGAUUAAAAAGACAAGAAAAGCAGAAGCCUAUGUUCCAUGUGCAAGUCACAGAUUAAAUACAGAGCAAGGAUUGCAGAGAACACUUAGAAAGCCAUUCCAGUAUUGGAGAAUUAUGAGUUCUCUACAUUCGACAAGUAUUACCAAAAGUCUACUGGCAACAUCUGGACAAUUAAGCAGAUACAAGAAUAAAAAAGACAUAUGCUUUGUCCUCAAGCACUUAACAUUUAGCAGGCAAAAACAUAACUAUAGUCCAAAUGGGAGGUGAAAUUUGUUUCUUACAGGUGCUCAGUGGAAAAGAGAGAAGGAAUGUUAUCUUUGGGAUAUCCAAACAGUGUUUUCCAUAUUUAAUCUUCAUGACAGACUUGCAAAAGUAGAC
rnacentral:lncRNA from 1 species